rnacentral:rRNA from 1 species
AUUGAACGCUGGCGGCAGGCCUAACACAUGCAAGUCGAACGAGUGGCGGACGGGUGAGUAAUGUCUAGGAAACUGCCUGAUGGAGGGGGAUCACUACUGGAAACGGUAGCUAAUACCGCAUACCAUCAGAUGUGCCCAGCUGGGGUUAGCUAGUUGGUGGGGUAACGGCUCACCAAGGCGACGAUCCCCAGCGGGUCUGAGAGGAUGACGAGCCACAUGGGAACUGGGACACGGUCCAGACUCCUACGGAAGGCAGCAGUGGGGAAUAUUGCACAAGGGGCGAAAGCCUGAUGCAGCCAUGCCGCGUGGAUGAAGAAGGCCUUCGGGUUGUAAAGUACUUUCAGCGGGGAGGCGUUACCCGAAGAAGAAGCACCGGCUAACUCCGUGCCAGCAGCCGCGGUAAUAC